rnacentral:rRNA from 1 species
UACAGAGGUCUCAAGCGUUGUUCGGAUUCAUUGGGCGUAAAGGGUGUGUAGGUGGCGCCGUAAGUCGGGUGUGGAAUUUCGGAGCUUAACUCCGAAACUGCAUUCGAUACUGCGGUGCUUGAGGACUGGAGAGGAGACUGGAAUUCAUGGUGUAGCAGUGAAAUGCGUAGAGAUCAUGAGGAAGACCAGUGGCGAAGGCGGGUCUCUGGACAGUUCCUGACACUGAGAAACGAAGGCCAGGGGAGCAAACGGG